rnacentral:lncRNA from 1 species
CGUGAUUCAUAACCUUCCUGGUAACCAGACGGGAAUGAACUUUAUUUCUAUUUAAAAGGUAAUUUUUUAUUUUUUUUGGGGGUAUAUUCAGGAUUAAUUCUUCUCUAAAUAUUUUAUGUAUUUUCCCUUAUACAAGAAUGACCUAAAUAUAUCAAAUUUCAAAAUGUUUAUGAAUUUCAACUUUCGUUUUUGGCUCGUACGUAUUUACAUACAUUAUGUUUAUGAUUAUUUCUAUCAAGUCCCAGACCUGGGUCAAACUGUUGUCUUUGAUGGUUUAUAAUUUCAUUGCUAUAAACAAGGAUAUGUAUGAUACUAUACCAAUACUUGUCUAUAUGAUAUAUAUAUAUAUAUAUAUAUUAUAUGUACCAAUGGGAAGGUUUAUACUAACAGGAUAACUUAAAUAUGGUGUACAUUGUAUGUCUUAAUACCUCAGCUUCUACAAAGGGGCCAGUUGACAAAACACCAAAGAAAUACCACCAAAUCUAAAGAAAAGUCCAAAUCUUGUAAUAGUUAUCUUUAAAUGUGAAAAAAAGAAUAAAUUCCCAAAUUUUAUUUGACAUAAUUGGUUACAACAUAAUGCAAAGAACCGUAACUCUUAUCCUUUUUGUGUAACAAUAUAACAUGUAAUAAUAACUAAUACAGUUUUUAAUUUAUUCCCCUAAAAAAAUAGAAAAAUAGAGACUUGACACAAUUGAUUCAUGACAUGUUUUGUUGGUCAGUAAUAUAUUAGUCUUCUCUACCAAGAUUAUCAUUCAUUUUCAAAUUUUAAAACAUUUUUAAAUGGUUGCUAUGGAAACGAACUAUUUAGUAAAUUCAAAAUUUUAACGUUUUCGAAUAACUUAGGGUUUCGUUUGUUAACAAUGUAAAUAUUCAUAUUGUUUUUAUUGAUUAACUAAAUUUCGAUGGGACUUUAAGUUCCCUUAUUUUCAAUUUCAAAAGUGUCUUUUUCACCUAUAUUCAGGCAAAAUGUUGUUUUGACGGUUACCAUGGCAAUGCACAUUAUACAGGAAAAAUAAUGACAAAAUUUACUCAUAUACCAAUGUUUUUAUCAUAUAGGGCAAAACAAAUUAAUUCUGUGACAUGUCAUGAAUCACCCUCUGCAUGAUUUUUAAACAAUACAGGUACUUUAAACCCAAGUCAAAUUGAAUUCAAUUUAAGAAUAUUUACUUUUAAAGAUGGUACCACCGACUGCAAAAUUUUUGUUAUGGCUAAUUAUUUAUCAUUGAUUUUAUUUUGUAGUGUGUUUAAUGGCUGCAUCAUCUCAAAGCUGUGGUGUUUGUGACCUCCGUCACAUCACAAAACCAUGCAUAGUCUGGUGUACAGAAUGUGACGAGGGACUAUGUUCAGAAUGCAAGGAACAUCAUAGUUUGUCUAAGUCAUCGAGAAGCCACAGUGUGAUACCUAUUGCCGAAUACCAGAAACUGCCAGCGGAUGUACUGAAAAUUACUCAGUAUUGUACCAGUCACGAUAAAAAAUAUCAAUUCUAUUGCCAGAAGCAUGAAUGUCCCUGCUGCAGCACAUGUAUCGUGGAAUGUCACAAAGAGUGCCGGGAAAUUGUCGAAUUAGAGAAUAUCAUUCGUAACGCCAAAUCCUCCAAUGCUAUGUGCGAGAUAGAGGAAUCAUUAGUUGAGAUAGCAGAAAAUCUAAAGAAGAUUCGCCAGCAUCAACAAGUCAAUCUGUCGAAAUUUAAAGAAAAGAGAAAGAAAUUGAAAAAGAAAUCAAGAAGUCAAGAAUACAAAUCAACAACCACCUCGACAAACUACAAGAAGAUUUAAUGAAACAACUCAACGAGCUCGAAGAAAAAGAAAACUCUAAAAUUUGUCAGUUAAUGGCCUCGCUAGAGAAGAAAGAAAAAGAAAUAGGAGAAUGCCAAAAUAGCCUAUUGAACAUUAAGAAACACGCAACAGAUCUUCAAAUGUUUCUCUCAAUUAAGCAAAUAGAAGAGGACGUUUAUAGCAAAGAAAAACAAUUGCAGGCUCUUGUAGAAGGCAAGGAACAGCAUACUCUUUCAUAUCAGAUCAACACCUCUAUCCAGAAUAUCAUAUCCGAUAUCAGAAGUUUUGGGGAAGUGCGUAUUGAAUCUAAUCCAUGCGACAUAGUUCUGAUCAAGAAGAAGGCCAGACAAGCCCAAUUGAUGAUUCCAAUCGUUCCAAAAAAAUCUAUAGAAAAUAUAAAGCUAACGAUACACAAGACCAUCGACACUCAAGGAAAUUGUAUUUACGGAUGUUGCAUACUUCCAGAUGAUAGAUUGGUAUUUACUUACUACUUGGUCAAACAAUUAAAAGUUUUCAGUGAUAAAGGAUCAAAAGACUUUGAGAUCAAGAUGCCGUGUUUCCCGUUUGAUAUAGUAUACAUUAGAGAAGACAAUACAUUGGCUGUAUCAUCUGAUAGUCCAUGUACCAUUACCAUAAUAAACCUGGAGACAAAACAAAUGAAGAAAUCAAUUGCAUUGGAUUCUGACAUUUAUGGCAUAGCCUUGAAAGGUAAUCAAUUGAUUUAUUCAGUGGAGACAAAGGUAUACGAAUGAUCAAUUUAAACGAUGAGUCUAUAAGUGACUUAGUCCGAGAAGCAAUGACCAGUUGUUGCUACACUGCAACAUUUAGGGACAAUAUAUAUCAUACAAACAAUAAAACAGACACUGUGACAUGUUAUAACCUACAAGGUAAACUACAAUGGACAUUCCAUAACGAAAGCGUUCUGAAGUCUCCUCGUGGUAUUGAUGUAGAUAAUGAUGGUAAUGUGUUCGUGGUUGGGUACAAUCGUCGAACAACGUUGUAGUUAUCUCCUCUGAUGGAAAAAGACAUAGAGAAAUAUUGACCGCAAGUGAUGGUCUUGAUAUCCUAUGUCACUUCAUUAUAGCGGAACAACGAAUCAGUUGCUAAUCGCGAACUACUUCAAUAGUAAAGCUUUUUUGUUAAAUUGUACUUGAAGAAAAAAUAACAGUGUGAAGUGCUGUCUCUUUGGAUCCUUAUAUGAAAUAAUUAUAGACAAUAGACAAUAUCUAUUUGCACAAUUAUAUUUACAAUAAGUGGU